GUGGGAGGGGGCUUGCUCCCGAAUGCGGCAUGUCAGCUAAAGAGAUGUCGACUGACACUCCGCAUUCGGGAGCAAGCCCCCUCCCAC
rnacentral:antisense_RNA from 1 species